rnacentral:rRNA from 1 species
GUCCACGCCCUAAACGAUGAUCACUCGAUGUUGGCGAUACACAGUCAGCGUCUAAGGGAAACCAUUAAGUGAUCCACCUGGGGGAGUACGGUCGCAAGACUGAAAACUCAAAAGGAAUUGACGGGGGGCCCGCACAAUCGGAGGAGCAUGUGGUUUAAUUCGAUGAUACGCGAGGAACCUUACCUGGGCUUGAAAGUUAGUGAAUUCUGAUGAAAAGUUAGAAGGCCGAAAGGACACGAAACUAGGUGCUGCAUGGCUGUCGU